rnacentral:sRNA from 1 species
UGUUUGCAGCCCGACUUGAGCGGAAAUCCUUUUUUUGCUUUGGUAAAGCUUUGGCAAAAAAAGAUUGAGAGCGGAAGGCGGAAAUAGCU